AUUAUUUAGUAUACACUGAUCUCAAUAUCUCAGUGUUUUCAAAAACUGUAGUCAAAGUGCUUGAAGAAUUUGAAGCAGCAUAUCAUUCUCAUUUAAAGUAUAAUUUAAAGGCUUCUGUUUGCAUUAUUCAUGUUGUUCUAAAAGUGCCUCCCAUAAAUAAGAAAUGCAUCUGCCUAGCUUACUAAUGUUUAGCUUUCAAAGACUGGACAAAUAUGGUUAAAUUAGGGAUUGUGUCAAAAAAUAACAAAGAAAUGAAAUAAAUAUGGACCACCCCCUUUUUAUUUCAUUCCAAAAUAGGUUAAAUUAUGAGUUCAAAGUUUUUGCCAAAUGAGAUGACACAAAAAGUUUUAAAGAAUCAAAAAGGGGAAUAAAUGAUUAGAGCUGCCCCUCCAGAUUUUAACAAGAAAAAAAUAAAAUACUUAAAUAUACUAGAUGAAAAUACAGUCAGAAUGCCCCACUGUAUUAGUAUUUAUUUUUAUAUUUCAGCCUUUUAGUUUACUUCUUUGGGAAACAGGGAAACUUAUAACUUGUAACUUAGGAAAGCUUGCUAAAAUUAAUUUAGGUUAAUUUAGGUAAUUACAUACUGUAAUAAAAGAAGUCAAAAUGUACCACAUAAUAUUUUUUAGUACAGUUUCAAAUAUUUGCAACUGGGUUUUCUCUACAGUCCCCACAACUCCAGCGGCUCCAGUGUCAGUGUAUUUAAGGCACGUCAACACAUCCCCUCUCCAGCAAAGUACAGGAUUUCUUCGGCUGCUACAGAUUCUUCUAGACUACAGGAGUACAGGCAAUUAAGUCGCUAGAUGCUGGAGUUUAAAUUCACCACUUUGGCUGGGAGGAGCCAGAAAAUGAAGGAUUUAAUGAGGGACUUAAGCCAUUUCGCCAUCAUUACUGCCUUCGACGACGAGACGCUGAAGUCCCUGUUCAAGAUUGGGGCUAUCUGCCACCAGCCUGUCGACCUCCCCGACACCACAGGACUGCAGUGGAGGGAAGCGAUCCUCCAGUGUCUGGAGAGCGUCCAGCCCUGAUUGCGAACGCUGCUUGACCCAGAGCCCAGCCCACUAUCACCCCGCUGUGCGGAGCAAGAUCCUGAGCCCACCGCUGACAUAGAGCCAGAACCCGCCGCGACCGAUGAGCCAUCGCCAAAGAAAGCGACAGUGCUGAGGAUCGCCCCGGAGCUAUAGCCCAAUAAGUCAGACCGCUGCGAGAGCCAGCUAUAGAGC
ensembl:lncRNA